rnacentral:rRNA from 1 species
UGGGGAAUUUUGGACAAUGGGCGAAAGCCUGAUCCAGCAAUGCCGCGUGUGUGAAGAAGGCCUUCGGGUUGUAAAGCACUUUUGUCCGGAAAGAAAUCCUUGGCUCUAAUACAGUCGGGGGAUGACGGUACCGGAAGAAUAAGCACCGGCUAACUACGUGCCAGCAGCCGCGGUAAUACGUAGGGUGCAAGCGUUAAUCGGAAUUACUGGGCGUAAAGCGUGCGCAGGCGGUUUGCUAAGACCGAUGUGAAAUCCCCGGGCUCAACCUGGGAACUGCAUUGGUGACUGGCAGGCUAGAGUAUGGCAGAGGGGGGUAGAAUUCCACGUGUAGCAGUGAAAUGCGUAGAGAUGUGGAGGAAUACCGAUGGCGAAGGCAGCCCCCUGGGCCAAUACUGACGCUCAUGCACGAAAGCGUGGGGAGCAAAACAGGAUUAGAUACCCUGGUAGUCCACGCCCUAAAACGAUGUCAACUAGUUGUUGGGGAUUCAUUUCCUUAGUAACGUAGCUAACGCGUGAAGUUGACCGCCUGGGGAGUACGGUCGCAAGAUUAAAACUUAAAGGAAUUGACGGGGUCAUAGCUGUUUCC